rnacentral:misc_RNA from 1 species
UUACUAUACUCGCUAAUUAUCUACCAAAUGCUCCAUCCAACAAAAGGGUCUUCAAAUUUCAUUUGUAAAACUUACUUGACAAGUUUCAAGGCAACCAAACAGAUCCCAGAAGACUUUCCCACUCAAAAGAAAAAAAAUCAGAAUCCUCAAGUAAUGCACAUGCAAAAAUAACAAGCAAAAAAGAAAUGAUAAGUUAUACUGACCAGUUAAAAGAGGCGGCGAAGAGGCAAAAUGAAUGGGCUUGUAUAAAAUCAGUAAGAAACUUUAAAGAAAGUCCUGAGGGUGAGAAAGAAUAUGAAACGUUUCUUUUCUUCUGAUAGUUGUUGAGUUUAGACUAUUUCUUCCUAUGGAGGCGUUACCGAAGACAGCUUGAAUGGA